AUUGAACGCUGGCGGCGUGCUUAACACAUGCAAGUCGAUCGGUAACAGGUGUAGCAAUACAUGCUGACGAGAGGCGGACGGGUGAGUAAUGCUUGGGAAUCUGCCUAUUAGUGGGGGACAACCCGGGGAAACGUCGGGCUAAUACCGCAUACGCUCUACGGAGGAAAGCCGGGGACCGGCAAGGCCUGGCGCUAAUAGAUGAGCCCAAGUCGGAUUAGCUAGUUGGUAGGGUAACGGCCUACCAAGGCGACAAUCCGUAGCUGGUCUGAGAGGACGACCAGCCACACCGGAACUGAGACACGGUCCGGACUCCUACGGGAGGCAGCAGUGGGGAAGUAUUGGACAAUGGGGGCGAACCCUGAUCCAGCGACGCCGCGUGGGUGAAAGAAGGCCUGCGGGUUGUAAAGCCCUUUCGGUGGGGAAGAAAAGUCUCGACCUAAUACGUCGGGACC
rnacentral:rRNA from 1 species